rnacentral:rRNA from 1 species
GACGAACGCUGGCGGCGUGCUUAACACAUGCGAGUCGAACGGAAAGGCCCUGCUUUUGUGGGGUGCUCGAGUGGCGAACGGGUGAGUAACACGUGAGUAACCUGCCCUUGACUUUGGGAUAACUUCAGGAAACUGGGGCUAAUACCGGAUAGGAGCUCCUGCUGCAUGGUGGGGGUUGGAAAGUUUCGGCGGUUGGGGAUGGACUCGCGGCUUAUCAGCUUGUUGGUGGGGUAGUGGCUUACCAAGGCUUUGACGGGUAGCCGGCCUGAGAGGGUGACCGGCCACAUUGGGACUGAGAUACGGCCCAGACUCCUACGGGAGGCAGCAGUGGGGAAUAUUGCACAAUGGGCGGAGGCCUGAUGCAGCAACGCCGCGUGCGGGAUGACGGCCGUCGGUUUGUAAACCGCUUUCGCCUGUGACGAAGCGUGAGUGACGGUAAUGGGUAAAGAAGCACCGGCUAACUACGUG